CAGCCGCCGCGGUAAUACGAGGGGUGCAAGCGUUAAUCGGAAUUACUGGGCGUAAAGCGAGCGUAGGUGGUAAUAUAAGUUGGAUGUGAAAAACCGGAGCUCAACUCCGGCCGUGCAUUCAAAACUGUAUGACUAGAGUCCUGUAGAGGGGGGUAGAAUUUCAGGUGUAGCGGUGAAAUGCGUAGAGAUCUGAAGGAAUACCAGUGGCGAAGGCGGCCCCCUGGACAGAGACUGACGCUGAGGUUCGAAAGCGUGGGUAGCGAACAGGAUUAGAUACCCUGGUAGUCCACGCCGUAAACGAUGUCUACUUGUUGUUUGUGUCUUUAAGACGUGAGUGACGAAGCUAACGCGCUAAGUAGACCGCCUGGGGAGUACGGUCGCAAGAUUAAAACUCAAAUGAAUUGACGGGGGCCCGCACAAGCGGUGGAGCAUGUGGUUUAAUUCGAUGCAACGCGAAGAACCUUACCAUCCCUUGACAUCCUACGAAAUUAGCAGAGAUGCUUUUGUGCCUUCGGGAACGUAGAGACAGGUGCUGCAUGGCUGUCGUCAGCUCGUGUUGUGAAAUGUUGGGUUAAGUCCCGCAACGAGCGCAACCCCUAUCCUUAGUUGCUAGCAGGUAAUGCUGAGAACUCUAAGGAGACUGCCGGUGACAAACCGGAGGAAGGUGGGGACGACGUCAAGUCAUCAUGGCCCUUACGGGAUGGGCUACACACGUGCUACAAUGGACGGUACAGAGGGCAGCGAGAUAGCGAUAUUUAGCGAAUCCCUUAAAGCCGUUCGUAGUCCGGAUUGGGGUCUGCAACUCGACCCCAUGAAGUCGGAAUCGCUAGUAAUCGCGGAUCAGAAUGCCGCGGUGAAUACGUUCCCGGGCCUUGUACACACCGCCCGUCACACCAUGGGAGUGGGCUGCACCAGAAGUGGUUAGCUUAAUAAUGGGCGAUCACCACGGUGUGGUUCAUGACUGGGGUGAAGUCGUAACAAGGUAGCCGUA
rnacentral:rRNA from 1 species